GCAUAUGAGUUCUGAGUUUGGUGAAGAUAUCUCAUUUUGUUCCCGAGUUAUAGCCUUUUUCGUAAAAUUGGUCCACGAAUUUGAAUGUUUUGGGUCACCUGGUUUUUUGUUCAGUCUUGAUCAAACCACUGCAAUAAUAUUCUCUGGACUCUCUAGAUCAAUAAUUUUCAAAAAUAUGUUGCAUUUUGUACUUUGGUCAGCUAUAAGAGGUCAUUUAGGAAAGGGCCGUGGCCACAUGUAACCUAAAGCCUAUAAAACUGAAACAAAAAAUCAAAACUUUAUGAAACUUGGUUAUAACAUGUGAAAGAUGACCCACCAAGCAUGCAAAGUUUCAUUAAGAUCAGAAAAUAGCUGGUGCUAUAACAGUUAAAAUGGCCUAAAAAACAAAAGAUUUCUGUUGUGAAUGGCAUUAAACUGCAAAAAAAAAGGGGUAAUAUAAUCACACAUGCAUUAGAUCUGUAUUUUUUCUAAACAAUCAUGCAAAAUUUAACAGAGAUUAGGUAAAAAAGAACACUGUAAUAUUUAUAAAGCUUCAAAACCCAGUGUUGAAUAAAAAAUUGCAAUUAUAACCACUAGAUGUCACCGGAAGACCACUAAUGAGCUCACUAAAGACUAAAACAUUACAGUUUAUGGGCUUGUUGAGGGAUUCAUCUAGAAAAAGUGUAUAUUACUAUUAUUUAAUAUUACUGUUCAAGCAUUUCAGAUCACAUUGAGUCAAAGUUUACCAAUUUAUUCAUACAGAUAUAUCUAAUGUUUAUAAUUAUGCCAGAUUAUGAUUGCAAUGAAACCUGAAAAAUGACAUAGAAGCCCAUAAAAACAGAAGACUUGCAAUAGGUUUUAUCACCCAUCAUUUAUUUUAAUUAUCUAUAUAUAUAACAAAAUGUGUGCAUCUGUGUGUGGGUUUAAGCAUGCUUAUUGGGUAUUAAUAUACUAGUUUAAACAUUUCAUGUUUGUGUGUGUCUGUAAUACUGUUCUAUUCUUUUACUGUCAGCCAUAUCUAGGUUAUUUAAAAUCAGUGCAGUACUAUUAUCUAGACUGUGAAAUUAUACAUAAAUUGCGUAUGCUUCUUUGGAAUGAAAUUAAGACAACAUAUAACAGUUAUAAAGGUUAAAGAGACAGUGUUGUAUGAUAAAUUGCAUUUACGACCACUAGAUGUCACUGGAAGACCACUAAUGGGCUUUGCAGAGAUAUAGCCUCAGACUCAUUUUGUGAAGAUGCCUGACAUCUGAAGCAGCGCUGUACAAAAACGGUUUCGUCUAUUGACACGAAAUCCAUAACUUUUUGUCAGCACGGUCUGAAGAUGAUCUGAUUCAAUUUUGGUGAAAAUCGGACAAACGGUUGAGGAUGAGUUUAAAAAAAAAGGUUUUCAACAUGAAUCAAAAUGGCGGACAGGAAGUUUUGCUUAAU